AUACGGAGGGUGCAAGCGUUAUCCGGAAUCAUUGGGCUUAAAGGGUCCGUAGGCGGGCAAUUAAGUCAGAGGUGAAAUCCCACAGCUCAACUGUGGAACUGCCUUUGAUACUGGUUGUCUUGAGUUAUAGUGAAGUAGAUAGAAUGUGUAGUGUAGCGGUGAAAUGCAUAGAUAUUACACAGAAUACCGAUUGCGAAGGCAGUCUACUAACUGUUGACUGACGCUAAUGGACGAAAGCGUGGGGAGCGAACAGGAUUAGAAACCCCUGUAGUCC
rnacentral:rRNA from 1 species